rnacentral:rRNA from 1 species
UGUGAACAUACCUAUACGUUGCCUCGGCGGAUCAGCCCGCGCCCCGUAAAAAGGGACGGCCCGCCCGAGGACCCCUAAACUCUGUUUUUAGUGGAACUUCUGAGUAAAACAAACAAAUAAAUCAAAACUUUCAACAACGGAUCUCUUGGUUCUGGCAUCGAUGAAGAACGCAGCAAAAUGCGAUAAGUAAUGUGAAUUGCAGAAUUCAGUGAAUCAUCGAAUCUUUGAACGCACAUUGCGCCCGCCAGUAUUCUGGCGGGCAUGCCUGUUCGAGCGUCAUUUCAACCCUCAAGCUCAGCUUGGUGUUGGGACUCGCGGUAACCCGCGUUCCCCAAAUCGAUUGGCGGUCACGUCGAGCUUCCAUAGCGUAGUAAUCAUACACCUCGUUACUGGUAAUCGUCGCGGCCACGCCGUAAAACCCCAAC